rnacentral:sRNA from 1 species
CUUGGUCAUUUAGAGGAAGUAAAAGUCGUAACAAGGUUUCCGUAGGUGAACCUGCGGAAGGAUCAUUAAUGAAUUGUUAGGACGCUCUUUUUAGAGGUCCGACCCCUUCAUUUUCUUACACUGUGCACACACUUCUUUUUCACACAUUUUAACACAACAGUCUAAGAAUGUAAACAGUCUCUUAAUUGAGCAUAAACAAAAAUAAAACUUUCAGCAACGGAUCUCUUGGCUCUCGCAUCGAUGAAGAACGCAGCGAAUUGCGAUAAGUAAUGUGAAUUGCAGAAUUCAGUGAAUCAUCGAAUCUUUGAACGCAUAUUGCGCUCUUUGGUAUUCCGAAGAGCAUGCUUGUUUGAGUAUCAGUAAACACCUCAACCUCUCUUUUUUGAUAAAAAAAAGGGAGGGUGGACUUGAGCUAUCCCAACGACCUUCACCGGUAGGCGGGCGGCUUGAAAUGCAGGUGCAGCUGGACUUUUAUCUGAGCUAAAAGCAUAUCUAUUUAGUCCUCGUCAAACAGGAUUAUUACUUUUGCUGCAGCUAACAUAAAGGAUAAUUGUCCUCUUUGCUGACUGAUGCAGGAUUUUACGACACUUUAUGUGUUGUUCAACUCGAUCUCAAAUCAAGUAAGACUACCCGCUGAACUUAAGCAUAUCAAUAAGCGGAGGAAAAGAAACUAACAAGGAUUCCCCUAGUAACGGCGAGUGAAGCGGGAUGAGCUCAAAUUUGAAAUCUGGCUGGUUUACUAGUCCGAGUUGUAAUUUAAAGAAGCGUUUUCGGUGGCAGCCUGGGUAUAAAUCCUUUGGAAUAGGGUAUCAUAGAGGGUGAGAAUCCCGUCUUUGACCUAGUGCAUGCUACUAUGUGAUACGUUUUCAAAGAGUCGAGUUGUUUGGGAAU